UCUGCUCGAGCUCUAUUUCUAGGUCUUUCCGCCGGCGCCGUCAUCACCGUCGGCUUCGUGUUCCUCCCGGAGAUGCCCAACUCACUCUUGGAGCGCGAGCAUCUCGAGGAGGACCGGCGGGUGCUGCGGCGCAUGCGCAGCAGCGAUGACGUGUCCCCCUUCCACCGCCAAGGGUUGGCGCUGAAGGUCCUGCCACACAAGAUCAGAUUCUUUAUGGAUGAAGGUAGGAGAUUGGGAUAUGCGGAUGUUUCCUCAACAAUCUCUGGCGGAUCUGCUUCGAUUUUGGUUUCGGGGUGUUCAGAUCUUGAUUGUCAAUUGAAGGAUCCGAUGCUUUUCAUCUGAUACAUUGGGGUCAAUGAUUGUGGCUGAUUGUGGCUUUGUGUGUGAUGGUGAUGGUCAAAAAGAUUUUGGAAAUUCGAAGUUACGAUCGUCUCUUGGUUUAUGUUAUGAGUGGGCCCGGGAGAUGCAACGUAAUGGUGCAUGCCAUGUUAAGCCUGGGAAUUGUGCUAUUUGGGAAGCAACAAUUUCAAUGGCACGUGUGCUCAAUGUGCCUC